rnacentral:rRNA from 1 species
UACAGAGGGGGCAAGCGUUAUUCGGAAUUAUUGGGCGUAAAGGGCGCGUAGGCGGCCUUUCAAGUGACGGGUGAAAUCCCUCGGCUUAACCGAGGAACUGCCUGUCAGACUGGGAGGCUUGAGACCGGGAGAGGUGAGUGGAAUUCCCAGUGUAGCGGUGAAAUGCGUAGAUAUUGGGAGGAACACCAGUGGCGAAGGCGGCUCACUGGACCGGAACUGACGCUGAUGCGCGAAAGCGUGGGGAGCAAACAGG